UACGAAGGGGGCUAGCGUUGCUCGGAAUUACUGGGCGUAAAGCGCACGUAGGCGGAUUGUUAAGUCGGGGGUGAAAUCCUGGAGCUCAACUCCAGAACUGCCUUCGAUACUGGCGAUCUCGAGUUCGGGAAGAGGAUGGUGGAAUUCCCAGUGUAGAGGUGAAAUUCGUGAGUAUGUGAAGAACACCGAUGCGAAGGCAGCCAUCUGGACCGACACUGACGCUGAGGAGCGAAAGCCAGGGGAGCAAGCGGGAUAAGAAACCCCGAGUACAGUCC
rnacentral:rRNA from 1 species